CUAGCCUCAAACUCAUAAAAAAAUCUGCCUGCCUCUGCCGUGGUGGGAUUAAAGGAAGAAACUAAAGUUGUUCAUAAGAAGAGUUACUCAAACUCAUCCAACAUAGUUAGAGGAAAAUGCAAUCCAGCAACAUCUGCUUUUCAGUGAACCUGAACUAAAUUGUAGUGGUUCCUUGGAACUGUUUGAGAGUCACUCAGGAGCUCCCCGGAGGAACAGAGGAACAAGAGAGCAUUGUACUGAGUUCUGUCUGAAAGAAAAGGUCUGAGACACAGAUCCUGCUUUAGAAGAAUCGCCAGACCUUUAAAGGGAAGACAAGAUCAGCAACAAACAUAAAGAGUUGUUAUAGUGUUGUUAUUUUUAUAUUAACCUUGUGUGUGUGUGUGUGUGUGUGUGUGUGUGUGUGUGUGUGUGUGUGUCAUGUAAGGAGAGGCAACAUCCUUUGCAAAGAGUUCAGAUCACAAUAACAAAAAGUAAGAUAAAUCUGAAUGGGCCAGGAUAGAAGAUGUUACUUCCAUGGCUGUCACUAUGGCAACCACUUCCUUGAGCUCUGGGCAGGGUCUGCAGGUUGAUCAAAUGGAGUAGCAAUAGCUCAAAGGGAAAAACAAAUGAAAACAAAAGUGGCGUUUACUACAGUUCAGGAUGGCAAUCUCCAGGUCUUUCAAGCUCCACCCCCGUGUUCCAGGGACCUUGAGGCAAGCACAGUCAUUUGUUUGGUGAUAAAGUGACUGGUUCAAGGUUCCCCCUUACUGCUGUAGACAGAAGAGCAUGAGAGGAGGGUGGUGAUGGAGAAUUCAGGGAUCG